rnacentral:rRNA from 1 species
GGAUUAGAUACCCUGGUAGUCCACGCCGUAAACGAUGUCGACUAGCCGUUGGGGUCCUUGAGGCUUUAGUGGCGCAGCUAACGCGAUAAGUCGACCGCCUGGGGAGUACGGCCGCAAGGCUAAAACUCAAAGGAAUUGACGGGGGCUCACACAAGCGGUGGAGCAUGUGGCUUAAUUCGAAUCAACGCGAAGAACCUUAUCCAGGGCUUGACAUGCACGGAUUAUUGAUCCGAAAGGUGAUAAACGCUCUCUGAGUGGAACGUGCACAGGUGCUGCAUGGCUGUCGUCAGCUCGUGCCG